AACCCAAAGGACUUNGCGGUGCCUUAGACCUACCUAGAGGAGCCUGUCCCACAACCGAUAACCCCCGUUAAACCUAACCACCUCUUGCCACAUCAGUCUAUAUACCGCCGUCGCCAGCUUACCUUGUGAAAGAAAAAUAGUAAGCUAAAUGGAAUAUUUAACCAAAAAAGUCAGGUCGAGGUGUAACACAUGAGAUGGUGAAAGAUGGGCUACAUUUUC
rnacentral:rRNA from 1 species